rnacentral:rRNA from 1 species
UAGGGAAUAUUGGACAAUGGGUGAGAGCCUGAUCCAGCCAUGCCGCGUGCAGGAAGAAGGCGUUAUGCGUUGUAAACUGCUUUUUGCCAGGGGAUAAAAUGACCGUGCGCGGUUAAUUGAAGGUACCUGGUGAAUAAGCCACGGCUAACUACGUGCCAGCAGCCGCGGUAAUACGUAGGUGGCAAGCGUUGUCCGGAUUUAUUGGGUUUAAAGGGUGCGUAGGUGGCUAACUAAGUCAGUGGUGAAAUAUCUCAGCUUAACUGAGAGGGUGCCAUUGAUACUGGAUAGCUUGAGUACAGAUGAGGUAGGCGGAAUUGACGGUGUAGCGGUGAAAUGCAUAGAUAUCGUCAAGAACACCGAUAGCGAAGGCAGCUUACCAAGCUGUAACUGACACUGAGGCACGAAAGUGUGGGGAUCAAACAGGAUUAGAUACCCAAGUAGUCCCUGAGCGGGCUGGCAAGGCGCAU